UUGCGUCUACUUCAACUUUAAAAUUCCACACCUGUGUCUUCCUCUAUCAGAUCUAGGCCAGACCUCUGGGGGCUACUGGGAGCAGAAGUGGCCCCCCAGGCCUCCAGCAGAGCAAAACCAGUGAAAAGCAAGGAGAAGAAGAUGGUUUUACUGAGGUGUCUGGUGAGGUAACAAUGCAGAUGGGAGGCAAAGACUCAUGAUGGAUGGAGAAGACUGGAAAAUUCAAACUCAGGUGUCAAGAAUCAGUGUUUCUUAGGCUCCACAGAGCAGGGAAGUAUUUAGUCUACCUCUCAGAGUAGGCACAUGGUGAGUCCUGAGACUCCCAGAUAACAGCACUGGUACCUGGGCUCAUUCCAUGUAGAAUGUUCCAGUUGGGCCCUUAAUCAAUCCAUUUAAGAUGUGGUCCAGUUUUUAUGAAUUACAGCAAAUCCUUGGUGAGAUCUACAUUCUUUCUUUCAGAUAUAGGCCAGCUCCUUGGUUGUCCCAGUUAAUGUAUUUUUUUCUCAAAUUAACUCUCUGUCCAUGCUUUAAGGAAAAAUCUCCAUACAUACUCCAUGAAAAACUGCUAAAGUCUCAGAUUAAACCAGAAGCAUAACUUUGUACUGUAUCUUCUUAUCAGCAUUUAUUUGAACACAAGUAAUAAGUUUCUGUGAACUUUGUCAUCCAACCACAUUGUUAAAUGUUACAAUCAUUUAAUCUAAAUUUCUCUGAGCAAAGGUGGCAGGUCUCAACCUUGCCCAACAGACAGGCACUUUACUUACAUCAGGAUGUUCCUGGGCACUUUUUCAUUUACAAGCCAAAAUGAAUGAUGCAAAAAACAAAUGAAAGACCUUCAUAAUCUUAUUCCCCUAGAUGAUGUUUACUUUUGGUCUAGGAGAAGCCACAGGCUUUUUGUUUAUCUGCUUCAGCUCUCAGUUAAUCAAGGUGUGCCUACACAGUUGGUAUCCAAAAACACUUCUUAUAGUUUCUACCUCUCUAAAAUCAGAUAUAGUUAGGUAUCUAAAUAAAGUAAGAUCAACAUUCUCUCUUCCACUGUACUGAGCAGUUACCAUGUGUCAGUUGCUGGGAUGGGGUUUAGGAGCACAAAGGUAAACAGAGCUCACCAUUAGAGGCUCGCAGUCCAGGAGAGAUACAGCAAAUUCUCAGAGUGUGAACGAAAGAGUAGCAGGAACUCAGAGGAGUAGCCGCUCAAUCUGGGGAUUAGGGAAGUUUGCUGCUGGUGGGGAACAUUGAAAAGAAAUCUUGAAGACCACUUAGAAGUUCACUGAGCAUUCCUGAAUGGAAAGCCUAUUCCAGGAAAAAGGAAGAGAACAAACAUGGAACCAGAUGUGUGUUACCUAAACCUGUACCGGAGGACAAAAUGUUCAGACAACAACAGUGAGAACAAUGGCCGUGUCCGUGAAGUUGAAGGUUUUCCUUGGAAGAAGGAAUCAGCCUUCUGCCACUUUCUCAAACAUCAUUAAUGUUUUUGAUAUGAGCCAAUUCAAGUUGAAAAAGUUUACCUAAGGAUUUGUCUCCAACUUUGAAACUCACAUUCAUUUUAAAAGCUAAAGCAUGCUUAAAAUAACAUAAAAGCAAAAGAAGCUACCACCUAUAAAGGAUUGCAAACUUUAAGACAUCAUGAAAUUGAACUACUCUUUUGGAACAAUGUCAUGCCAGACUGCUUCGGGUGGCAGAUUAACAAAGGUAAAAUUGCUCUCUAGAUCUUUAAGUUAGUGAGAUGAACUGGUAUCAUAUGCUACUGGGUCAUGGGCUAGGUUCAUAAACCGUCUGAGAUGCGUAAGACAUCUAGAGCACUUUGGAUAUCAACAAGAAAGCAUGUUGAAUAAAAAUUAAUCAGCACAAAGAUCAACUUAGGUGGCAAGGAAUAGGAAAUACGCCUGUCUCUACUUGAUUUUAGCCAAAAGGCAAAGAUGUAACAAAACAAAACCAGUCCAGCAAGAUGAGAACAAGAAUUGCAAUGUGUAUUCUAUAUCUGAAAUCAGAAAUAACCUAAGAUCUGCCUAGAGACUUUAUCCCAAGUUUACAGAUUUUGAACACCUUACAAUCCUUUAUUUUUUUCUCCUCUCUUUUGGAGAAAACUUAUUUUAACGUGUAUAUGCUCUAGAAAAACCCCAAAAUAUGGAUUUUAGAGAGUUUCCUUCUUAUCCUAUGCUUUGCCACAUUGUUUAUUUCUGUUUCUAAUCAGUUGUAUUUUGUUUUGUUAUCAUUUCUAGAUGAAAAAGCUAUGAAGCACUUGGGAACACAGAAACUGAGAUCUACAAGAUACAAAUUAAUUUUGUGUAAGCUUUUUAAAGACUUUUACCCAUACCCAUUAAGCACAGGCAAGUAAUCAGUAAGUAAAAUUUAACACUUCUCUUUAAAAUCAUCGGGCAGCUUCAAACAGGUUGACAAAAGUUUCUCCUUAAAAUUUAAAUUAAUAGCAUUUAAUAAUUAAAAAUUGCAUAAUAGCAUGUAUGUGCAAUUGUGUGUACGUGUGUAUACAUAUAGCAUAUAUAUAAAGUAAAGUCAUAGCAACCUUUGUACUGUUGGGAAAGCUAAAAUGACCUAAUGGAUUUGCUGUUAAAGAAAAUGUCUGCAGAGGCAGGAGCAAUAAUAUAGCCAUACAAUUGUGUCAUAGGGAUGUAAAAGACAGUCAAUUCUAUAACCUGAAAUGGCAUGCAGACAUAACUUUACAACUUCAACCUCAGCACAGAUGGGAUAUGGGAUCCUUAAACUUUAGCAUAUCACCUCAAGGAUCUUUUAAAAUAUCUAUUUCUAUCUCCCUUCUCCCUUGAUUUUUUUUAAACAGAGAACAUGAAAGAACAGACCCUUUCUGGUAUAUUAAGUUUUCUGGGGGGUGGGGUGGGGGGGGAAUAAAAGAGAAUAAAAUGGCAAUAAGAGAAGCAUAUUAGCAUAUUUUAAAACAUUAGUACAUUACCCUGAACUAAAGCAUACUUAAAAAUAACAUACAAGCAAAAGAAGCUACCAUUUUUAAAGUGUUGCAAACUUUAAGACAUCAUGAAAUUGAACUACUCUUAUGGAACAAUUCAUGCCAGACUGCUUCGGUGCAGAUUAACAAUGGUAAAAUUGCUCUCUAGAUCUUUAAAUUAAUCAGAUGAAGGAAGAUAUUUUGCUGGUACUUAAUUUUAUUGACUUAAUUUCUUAAUUGCUAUUAACAAUACUUUUAUGUUUUACAAGUCACACCCCGUUUUUACAGUUAUUUACUCCUGGGAUAAUCUCACAUUCCGAAGAGUCAUUUAACAAUAAAAACAGUGACAACUGACAAAGGGUUUCAAUUGGGCUUGAUCUACCUGCACACUCUGCCCAAAUCAAUUGAGGCAUUCUAGAAAAGUGCCAGACUUUUCAAAGAGAAAAUUAAAAUGAUACUCUGGUUCAUUGUAACUCCAUGGAGUAGGCCCAAGGGACAACCGUGCCCCAGACAAGUGUGGUGAGGAAUGACAUCGCUAGCUGGGGCAUGACACACUACUGUCUAACGUUCAAAAAAAUAAAACCAACUGAGUAUAAAAUAUAGUUACACCUAGAAGAUUUAAUGGGAGGACACAAAAUAAUUAUGAAAAAAGGAACUGAAAUGCUUACAAACAAGUUCAAACUUCUAGACUGCAAAUCCAACACAUAUAUGUUAUUUCUUCUUGGCUUCUAUUUGCAUCUAAUACUAUCAAAUAAUGCAUAUAUUAUAAGGAGGAAAACAUAAAGCCUCAAACCUUUGUGGGAUCAACAAACUCACAUUAUUUUCUAAAAGAAUGCAGCAGCAGCAGCAAAACUGUACCCUGCCUGUCCAAUCAUCUCCCCGUGAGCACAGAAAGAAAAUCUGACACAUGCAGCAGAAAGCUCAAAAUGUUAUU